rnacentral:tRNA from 2 species
UCACCGGCUGGUGGACGGCCGACACACAGGCCGAGGGCGACGGCCUCGGCGGCGUGCUCCGGUUCCGGUUCGAGGCCGGCGGG